ACGCAUUGUUCAUUUCGCUCAAGACACAAAUGCUAUGUACAAAUGUCCACUCGCAUGAAAGAUUAAGAAAAGGUUGAAUCACAAAAAGCCCAAAUCCAUAUAAAUCCAAGAACCCCAUAUCCUGCUGUUAUUCUUCCAUAAAACCCUUGGCUUAUUAUGGUUUGUGAUUGAAACUGCAAGUACAACAUAUUGGCAAAACAUGUUCACACAUUAAAAUUACAUUUUUCAUUUUUCAAACUAACAUUACAGCAUACAAAUGUUUAAGCACAUUUUCAAAUCGUUAUGCAAGUACAUGUUUAAGCACGGCCAAAUGGGUUGAUAACACAACCUAAGUCGCUACAUGUUACAAACAAAAGAAGCAGGAUAAGAAAAGUCUGAACAUAGUCAGUGGUCGUCAAUGCGAGAGAUAUGCAGUGUCGUAAACAAACCCUCAACCUCUGAUAACCGAUAAACAGUGCAGGAGGAGCUUACUAUAGAACCAUUUUUGUUUACACCAGAACCAUAUGCAGAAGAGCAGGCACACCACAAAUGAGCCGAGGAACACGCAUGGCAUAAGACCUCUGAUAACCGAUAAACAGUGCAGGAGGAGCUUACUAUAGAACCAUUUUUGUUUACACCAGAACCAUAUGCAGAAGAGCAGGCACACCACAAAUGAGCCGAGGAACACGCAUGGCAUAAGUCUCAUAAUACCUGAAUAAUUCCACAUCAGUUUCUCAGGCCAUUCCUUGCAUUAGUUUCCACAAGACAGUAUAAGCUUCUCUCCCGUAUCAUGCGGUGACCUAUAGAUCCAAGAGCUAGCAGUACCACACCGAUAAUGCGAAUGUGAAUACAGGUGCGCAAGGAUAAAAGUGCAAAGAAGCAUAGGGAAAGCUACAAGUUUUAAAAGGACCUGCAACAAAGUGGCCCUGGUCAAAUCAUAACUCACAGCAGUUCCAAGUACGAACAGGAAACGUACAUUGCUAAAACUAUGUUACAUGUGGUAUGUACAACCUUACCGGUUGUUCUGAAAGGGUAAAUCACAACCGACUUAUAACCUGCAAGUGUGUCUUUAACUUGAGCCAACUACCUUGUUAACCAACGUUGUCGUUGAUGCAUCAACACUCCUUCAAAAACUCUAAAGUGGCAGCCACGAAUAACCGACCACAUUGCAGGAUAGAAAUCCACUGCAGGGCCAUUUGGUUAGCAUCAAGAACCAUGCAUACUAACGAUGCAACACCUGUAGAACCUGCAACAACAAAAUGCCAAGCUAAAAUCGACGUCCUUAACAGUCCAAGAUUAGAAUCAAUACCAGCAAAUGCCGGCAGCAGUCACAGAGAAGCUCAAACCACAACCAUGAAAAGCUUUAGAAUACAGGGAGACCAAACAUUACAACACUUCAAACCAAAUCUAAACAUAACUUAUUGCAGAAUAUACGCAGGCAUGGACUUGGAAAGCCGAACACAUACAUGACCUUGAGAAUCACCAGUUGUAGAGGACCUACCAAAUUGUAGCACGACACGUGAAACUUAGAUUCUAUGCAGGACAGAAUUCUAAGCCAUUUCAGGAUGCUGCCGUGAUUUGCGUUAUCUUAAUCAAUUGUGAACCUGCAGAGCAACAAUUGACGCUAUUAAAGAACUAUGACAUAUGCAAAACCAGCAAAAGCAACUCUGUUACCAAAAGGAACUUCUUCAACAGUCCAGCCUGCAUUACCGUCCAAGUCAAAAUUCCACAAGCUAAACAAACAUGCCCUAUAGUUUGUUUUGAGGAAUCAGACCCUGCAAAAUGAUCAAAGUUAGAAAUCAAAGCAGUCAUAAAUCCAAUGGCUACAAGAAAUUGUAAAGCACAAUGUAGUUUGGAAACUCAAACAAGACAGAAGUUUAAGCCAUUGCAGGAGGCAACAUCAAGAUAAGUAAAAGAAUAAGUUACUACGCUUACCGUCAUGUGAACCGGCGACAGGACAAUACAUAUCACCUCAUUGAAACGAAAGCCAGGACUCGGAAAUCCUGUAUCAAAGUUUCAUGUACCUGCACCAGUAUUCACAAGAUUUCAAAGUACAUCAGUGGAAAGCAAUCAUGAUCAAAUCCCUUAGACAAAGCAAAGCUAGUGAGGUUGAAUCAAAUUCAUAGCAGUUAAAAUAGUUGUGGAGUCAAAUAUCAUUAUCACAUCAGAUAAAUGACCUGUAGGAACACUAAAUAUGCAAUGUUUGAAUCCGCAGCUAAAAGAGUUCAGGCUUAAAACAGGUACACACAUGUUACAACAUCAUGAUACAUAACCAGACCCUGGUCCACAACCAUUCAUGCCGCCAUAUUUCAGGUUAUCUUGAUAACCAUGAACCUGGACCAACUACAACACAACAAGUUAUUACAUUCACACCUGCAUAAAACCAAUACCAAUCACACCAAAAAGGAUAACAAUAGAAAGAAAAAGUUGCAGUGCAAAGGUCCAUCUUAGAUACCACCAUGGAAGUUCUUCUGUGCAACAAUUGUAAUGUAAUUCAUGAAAGUUCACCAGCCGAGUCUCCCAAGCUAGAAGGUUUAAGCUGCUUUUGAAAAACAGCCACACACAUUAGAACCAUAUCACACGCAUACAAAAAUAAAUUUUCAAUGUGAUGUCAUACCAGAUUAAAGGGACCACUUGAGUUUUAAAUGGAUGAAAAUGCGUCGCUACAGACAGAAAAACACUCACUCACAACAGACAGAAAGAAUUUCUUGCUUAACAAAAUCUGGAGCAAAUAAUUGGUCCCCACAAAUCGAAUAGAAGAUCUUUACCUAACGGCUAAUGGAUUUCGCCAGCUCAUUUCACCACACCUGGAAGAGGGACCACUUACCUUCGCCUAUAAAAAGAGGCGUUCAAUCAUUGAAAAAAUGGAAAAAUUUGGCACCGUCACUAUGCAGAAAUAUAUCCAGAAACCUUCAUUAAAACUAAAAAAAACGAGCUUGUUCAAGGUUCUCAAUCGAAAUCUUGAAGAAACUUGAGCUCAGGAUACGAUCUCAUUGCUCACUCAAGAAACUAAAGGAUACAAAGAGUAACAGCAAGAGGAAAAAUAAGAUAACUCACCUCACCACAGAGUCGCUCACGGGGAUAGGACAUUUGCCGGAAUCCAGAAGAUCCGCUGAACUCGGAGCUAUUUUUUUUCCAGAACCUCAGUUUGGGUAAGAGAUUCAUUCUUAUCUCCUUCUAUGAGCUCCCUUUUUGUAGAUCUGGAUUCAUUACUCCUCAUUGAUGUGUUGAACCGAAUCCAUGUUGUUUUAUAGCUCCUGUUUCUAUGACCUUUUACUUAAGUUUAUGGUGCGUGUGUUUAUCUUUUGAUUGAGCUUGGUUUUCGAAUUUAUUUCCUUCUCAUUUUUUGUACGCCUCUUUCUCACGAGGAAUAAGAAGAGAUAAACAUUUUGAUAUAAGAAAGAAAGGAAGUAGUUUAUUUCAUUGGGAGAGGGAGAGGCGGAGGCAAACAUAAGCGCCUUUACCACGUUCUAGAUCCUUGCUUCAUUCCUUGUUAAGAGUAUGUUCGUUGGCCAUUAAUGAGAAUACUUUUCUCACUGCCUAAGGCAAGUCACCGCUUUGGUUUUCCCCCUAGUUAUUACUUACCGUUGGAGUUGGGGAGCCAUUGUCUCCUUCACAUUUACUGGUAAAAUGAGAAGGGUUUUAUUGGACCCGCUUCGAGUUCGGAUUACCCGAGGUAGGCGGAGCCCUUUUGGGCCUUUUGGGCUUCGGUUCUCUUUUUCUUUUCUUUGCAGUUUGUGCGCCCUAGUGGGCUACAGAUGCCAUCAAGGCCCAUCUUAUUUUUGGUAAUUCCUUUAUGUUUUUAGCAUGUGAGUAGUUGUUGAUUUUAUUUGACUUAAAUAUGGAUUUGUAUUAUCAAGAUUAUCUAAUAUUUAUUAUAUAAUUUACUAACUAUUUAAUCAAUUGAUAUAUUUU
rnacentral:lncRNA from 1 species